CUGAAUGCCUCAAAUUUCUUGAAAACUCCCCAAUAUUAACAUCCCAGAAUUUUAGUGAAGUUUUCAUCAGCACCCUUACUGAUAAAAUUAAUUUGUAUUGAAGAAAUAUAAUUUGAACUGGUUUUCAGCUGAUUCCUGACUAAGCCUAAAUACAGAGAAUAGGUGUGGCUAUUUUCUACCUGCCAACCUGUUGCUAAAUGGUCCAUAACUGUCAAAAGGUUUGCAUUGUUCAUCUCUAGAUGAGAACAAUAGUGUCCUGGUUAAUCACUGGAUCCAUGGAACAGGCAUGAAAUGUGUGGAGUCCUUCCAGCUAUCAGUGAAAAAUGUUUAUUAAGGACCUACUGUAUGCCAGGUGAUGUAAUAGGUGCUGAGGAUAUCCCCAAGCCCCAUGCCAUGCUAUGGGGGAUGUGCGGUUAAGCAUCUUCUAGGUUUCUCUUUGGAGAAGAGUGAAGGAAAAUCCACAAGCUCACGCCCUAUUUGAUCAUUUGGCUGUAAAUAGCUUUGGGACGUUUCAAGAUGAAAGACCCAUUGGAAGGAAAAAUUCUCAUCUGAUUAAUUCUGAACUUGGCUUCUGGAUACUUCUGGAUACCUUCCAGAUAAUGUGGAACUUAACCAUUAACUAUUAACUAUUGAUUGGCUAUUAACUAUGACUCUUGCCUGGAAUCAAGCAGAGGAAUCUCUGCAAGUGAAUUGGAACCAGAGAAGCAGAUCUAUUAGGAGGAGCUUGCUUCAGAACUGCCCUGAGUAUGAGGCCUAUUCCAAGGGAAGAUGUUUCUAAGGACCGCAUGACUACAUGAGAAACCUAGGGAUCAUAGUGAAAUGUGCUGAUUAAAUGAGUGAGUUAUC